rnacentral:misc_RNA from 1 species
GAUGAAGAACGUAGUGAAAUGCGAUAAGUAAUGUGAAUUGCAGAAUUCAGUGAAUCAUCGAAUCUUUGAACGCACAUUGCGCCCAUUAGUAUUCUAGUGCGCAUGCCUGUUCGAGCGUCAUUAAGUCCACUUAAGCCCUGCUUAGUGUUGGGAGACUGCUCCAGCGGUGCUACCCUGUAGCUACCCUGCAGCUCCUCAAAGACAGCGGCGGAGUUGUGGUAUCCUCUGAGCUUAGUAACUUGUUCUAGCUUUCGAGUACACCACUUCCCCUGCCGUAAAACCCUUAAUUUUUAAUGGUUGACCUCGGAUCAGGUAGGAAUACCCGCUGAACUUAAGCAUAUCAAUAAGCGGAGGA